AUCGAGACUGGUCGAAGAAGUUCUCCGACCUUCAAAAGUAAUUGCAGGACGUCGAGGCGAACUAUAACACCGACCGAGUCGGUUGGAGCGGACAAGUAGAGGACUAUCGAAGGAAGCUCCAGACGGCGAUCGACGAAGUUGCCUGCCUUCAGAGGCAGCUGUCUGAGAGAGUCCAGCCUGCCUCUGCAUAAGGCUCCGAUGAGCUUCGCUCCUUAAGGGAGACCAUGGCAGAACUGUCUGUGGCCCUUAGACGGGAGGAGGCCGAACUACAGUACUGAAGAUUCAGCUGGUCCACGAGCAGCAGG
rnacentral:lncRNA from 1 species